UGGGGGAUAUUGCACAAUGGGCGAAAGCCUGAUGCAGCGACGCCGCGUGGGGGUUGAAGGCUUUCGGGUUGUAAACCUCUUUCGCUAUCGAACAAGGCCUGCUUAGGGUGGGUUGAGGGUAGGUGGAGAAGAAGCGCCGGCUAACUACGUGCCAGCAGCCGCGGUAAUACGUAGGGCGCGAGCGUUGUCCGGAAUUAUUGGGCGUAAAGGGCUUGUAGGCGGCUUGUUGCGCCUGCUGUGAAAACGCGGGGCUUAACUUCGCGCGUGCAGUGGGGACGGGCAGGCUUGAGUGUGGUAGGGGUGACUGGAAUUCCAGGUGUAGCGGUGGAAUGCGCAGAUAUCUGGAGGAACACCGAUGGCGAAGGCAGGUCACUGGGCCAUUACUGACGCUGAGGAGCGAAAGCAUGGGUAGCGAACAGG
rnacentral:rRNA from 1 species